CCACUCGAUGAAGAAGACAUCAUGGCAUACAUGAUUGCCGGACUCAACGCUGAUUUUGAGCCGGUGGUGUCGGCUCUCGCUGCUUCAAAGGAGCCGGUCACUGUGGCAGAACUCUAUGGGCAGCUGCUGGGGUUUGAAG